rnacentral:rRNA from 1 species
GAGUUUGAUCCUGGCUCAGAUUGAACGCUGGCGGCAUGCCUAACACAUGCAAGUCGAACGGCAGCACUGGGAGCUUGCUCCCUGGUGGCGAGUGGCGGACGGGUGAGUAACGCGUAGGAAUCUGCCUCAUAGCGGGGGACAACUCGGGGAAACUCGAGCUAAUACCGCAUACUACUCGAGAGAGGAAAGCAGGGGACCUUCGGGCCUUGCACUAUGAGAUGAGCCUGCGUUGGAUUAG